rnacentral:lncRNA from 1 species
UUUUUUUUUUCAUCCUUUUAAAUUUCCAUUUUGGAGGAGUUCCUAUUGUGGCUCAGAUGUAAUGAACCCAACCAGUAUUCAUGAGGAGGCAGGUUCGAUCCCUGGCCCCCAUCAGUGGGUUAAGGAUCCGACCUUGCCGUGCACUGGGGUGUAGGUCACAGACAUGGCUCAGACCUGGUGUUGCUGUAGCUGUGGUAUAGGCUGGCAGCUGCAGCUCCAAGUCAGCCCUUAGCCUGGGAACUUCUAUAUGCCCUGGGGGUGGCCCUAAAAGACAAAACCAACCAAUGAACAAAAAAUUCCGUUUUGGGGUAUAUUAUAGUAUACCUAUUAUAUUAAAACUGUGCUAAACGUGUACAAUUUAUAAAUAAAUCUAAAUAUAUAGACGGGUGACUUCAAAAUUUGAUGUAUAAUCAGAAAAGUGUGGGACCUCCUGCACUAAAUGGUGACCCCAUCUUCUUCACAGCCAUGAAGCAAGGCCCUCGGCAGUGCCUGACACCCGGCAAGUCUUCAGCCACCACCGACAGAAUGAAGGCUGCAUUCCACAGCCAAUUUGCAAAGGACUCCGAGAUACUUCUCCAAGAAUCAUGUCUUAGAGUGUGUUUUGACAGAGUUCCCCUCGUGGCUCAGCAGUUAAUGAACCCAACUAGUAUUCAUCAGGACGUGGGUUCGAUCCCUGGCCUCACUCAGCUGGUUAAGGGUCCAGUGUUGCCAUGAGCUGUGGUGUAGGUCGCAGACUCAGCUCGGAUCUGGCGUUGCUGUGGCUGUGGUGUAGGCCGGCGGCUACCGCUCCCAUUAGACCCCUAGCCCAGGACGCUCCAUAUGCAGCGGGUGUGGCCCUAAAAAAAAACAAAAGACCAAAAAAAAAAGUACGUUUUGAGGAGGUGGUUUUCUUGAGACCACAAUGGCCCCAUGAAACACGCACUGUAAAGGGGAGGGGGCCUGGGUACCACAUUUGGGGAAAUGUUGCAUAAUCAGCCCUGCCUUUGAGAGGCACACGUACGCCAGGACAUUAAACCAGGAUAGUAAGGAUAUUAAAGGCUUUCUUAGAAGCCCUCCAGGAAAGACUCCCUUUCAACUUUGUUUAAUCCAUUCAUUUCCUAAACCAAUUAACCCACAGUUCCUUUUCCCACAUUAUUAACAUUCCACACAACUAGUCUUGGAACCUAUGUAGAAAAUCCUGAUUUAGGCUAAAAAUCUCACGUUUCCUUGGAGCCAGAGAAUCAUCAGCAUUCACCACACCUGCCCAUUGAUAUGAGUCUGCUGAAUAGCUUCCUGGCUUUGCCCAUCCAUCCCUUUCCAAACUGCCAGCUUUCAAGAGGCUGUUUAGAAAUUGCCCAUGUGUGAUAGCAGCCAGAAACUUCGCCUUGACUCAUUGGCGGAGCAGGGCCUCAGGGUCUCCUCUCAAGACGACACCAACUCAAAAACUAGGCUCUGCCAACCACGGUCCCCGUAUCUCAGCAAACCAGCCUCGAAGGCUCACAGGAGCACCCCACGGCCUUGCGCAUCCUGAGUUUUGGCUGGGGAGCCCAGCUAUCAUUCACGCUGUCCUGAAACGGAAUUCCAAGAUUUCCAUUUUCGGGUGAAAAGGGGAGGAGAUUAUUUUCAGCAGGCUGGCUGGGAACGUGGAGGGCCGAUUUGGCGUUCUGUCUUCCUGGAACGAGGUCUAGACUUUCUGAGGAGUCACCUCUAUAAAUAGCAUGGUUAGUUAACCAAGAAAUAUAACAUGUCCUACUUCAAGCCCCACUCCCGGGGUGAAGUCAGGGUGGGCUUUUGCAAUGUGCCCACAAAUCCCACAGAGCAAUCCAUUUUUUAAAAAGUAAAAACACUCCUCUUUUAAAGGAGUGUUUCCUCACAUCUUUGGCCUUUUAAAGUUAAUGCUCCUUUUUAAGAAAAGUAGCUGGGAUACUCUUCCAAUUACAUGUGGGGGCAGUUGGUGGGGGUAAAGCAACAAGGCAAUCUCUUACCCACUUUAUGCAAACAGGCCUCUGGGGCUCGGAUGUCAGUGGGUUCCAGCUACACACUGGCUGUUACACAACAGAGGCGAUGUUCCCUGGAGCAGAGCUAUUCAUAUACCGUGCCUCGCUCGAGACCUGUUUCUGAAGUUGGUGUUUCCCCCCAAAGGAGUCUAGCCUUAAAAGAAAUAGAUCUGCAGCUCUGUGCCCACAUGCGUACACAACACAGUCCAAGCCAGGAGCAUCUGCUCACUCCGCAUAGUGGUCCGAGGAGUGAGAAUCCACAAGACUGGGAAUAUUCCGACUCAGACAACUUGGCACAUUCAAGUCCAUGGUUCUUUUGCACUCAAAGGGUAUAUGUUCUAUUCAGUUAUGAUGCUUCUGGAAAGAAAUAACUGAGAGGAGGAAAAAAAAAAAAAAACAGUCUUUUCUUUGCGAUGGAAAAUGGAAAGGUUUGGUUGACUGGCCAUCGCAGGCUCAAGCCUGGAAGAGAUUAGGGGCCUGCAAUGACAUCAAUAGAGGGAGACGAUUACAAAUGUAGGUAGAGGGAUGAUUGCUUCAGAAAGGCCUUUCAAAGGCUUGACAACUUCUCUUGAAGGAUGGUCCCAAUAGUGUUCUCUGAAGGCAGGGCUGCCAGUCUAUGCGUGUGCAGGACAGUUCAAAGAAAACAAAACACUUAAGCGUAAUCUUUUGGAGGGUGAGGAAUCAUGGCAUAAUGAUGAUAAAAUGCUACUUCUGCAUCUGACAAGCAGCACAGCUGUUUGAUGGUAAGGAGAAGAUUCUGGCUGAGCCAAAAGCUGUGAGUUCACUUGGCCUAUGGUUCUUCAAGAGAGAGAGAGAGAGAGAGAGAAUCUGGCCCCAACAUACUUGUGUGAUCCAGGAAUUAGCCUGGUAGCAGCCUCAAAGCGUGCCCAUGGUGAACCUGGACCUUUAAGUAGACUCCGUGAUGUUGUGGUUCCACAGGGGGUCCUCGAAGCAAAAGUAUAUACCUCAGAGAGGGUCACAGAGAAGUCCUGCCCAAGUCUGAACCCCAGGCUCUGAGAGCCAUCCCAGGCUGAGGCCCUUGCACUACUGUCUCUGACUUCCCAGCUCUAAGUGACUCGGGGACAUCAUGCAUCAUUCUAUGCUUGUGCUGUAAAGGACAGGGCACAUGCAUAACUUCUCGCACUACCUGCCACAGUCAACACAACCUGAUAUUGUCCCAACGAACCAAAUAACCACAGCCAGGGGCUUCUAGAGUCCCAGAGAAGGUGCACCUUAUGAAAACCAGUUCCUAUUUCAAGAAAGAGAAACGAAGAUCUAGAACACAUGGCAAACGGGGAAAGGCAUUCUAUAAUACAGGAGGAAAACAGAGUCAAAUAACUUUCUCAGGAAAAAAAAUAUGGAAAUGGCAAACAAAGCAGAGGAGUUCCCGUUGUGGCUCCACGGGUUAAGAACCUGACUAGUCUCCACGAAGAUACAGGUUCGAUCCCUGGCCUCGCUCAGUGGCUUAAAGAUCCGGUGUUAUCUCAAGCCACAAGCAGUAUGGGUUGCAGACACAGCUCGGAUCUGGUGUUGCUGUGACUGUGGCAUAAGAGUGCAGCUGCCACUCCCAGGCAUCUCCUAGCCUGGGAACUUCCAUAUGCUGCAGGUGCAGCCCUAGAAAACAAGUCGAAACAAAACAAACAAACAAAAAAGAAACAAAAUGGAGAAACGAAUGCAAAGAAAGCAACACAGGGGAAGCGUGUGAGGGGCCUAAGCUACCUUGUAUGGACCUGUGUACCUCGCUACCUACGGCGGCGUGUUCUGUUUGUUCAUUGCUAUGGCAACGACAGGGGCGCCAGUAAACAGAGGGAUUAAAAUUUUAUAGGAAAGAAAGAAGGUAUGAGCUGCUUUCUAUCACUCACACCCACCUAAUCAUAAAAACAGAAAAGAGUUAUUCUGGAAAACAGGGAAAACAAAUGCUCCUUCCAAAUAUUCUUUAAAAUGAUCUGGGCAGAAAGAAAUUUAAGAAUUUAUUAAUGUCUGGGAAACAAACAACAACAAUAACAAAGAAGUAUGAGUUCCCAUUGUGGCUCAGUGGGUAAAGAACCAGACUAGUAUCCAUGAGGACACGGGUUCCAUCCCUGGCCCCAUUCAGUGGGUUAAGGAUCUGGCAUUGCUGUGAGCUGUGGUGUAGGCUGGCAGCUGCAGCUCUGAUUCGACCCCUAGCCUUCCAUGUGCCGUGGGUGUGGCCCUAAAAAGAAAAAAAUAACAAAGAACUAAAACUCCAAAUCUGCAGCACAUCGGAGAAAGCAAAGGAGCCGGGAGGCUGCUCAGUGAACUGAAAGGUGCACUAAUUUCUGGCUCAGAAGCAGGUUCCCCAAGGAAAGAAUCGCUAUGGUCACAACCUGCCUAGAAAUCAAGAGGUCACAGCUCCUCAAGUUUAAAGGAGGAUUGUUUAAAAGUAUGGAUGUUUUUGAAUGAGGCGAUCCAAAAAUUCAAGUCCAAAGUUAACAAAGAAAAAGUAAAGAAAAAUUCCCCAAACUGUGAAAUCUUGCUAACUCAGAUAAUGACAGAAAUUUAUGACUGCUUCCUUCCCGGGCAGAAAGGAGCACAAUUAGAAGGCUGCAAACAAGAGGCCCUUUGUACCAGCAUGUUAUGUUUUGCCGAUUCUAUUACACAUUGGCUGGGAGAUAAGAAUAAACAGGACAACACCCUGUCUAACCCCGGGAGGAGCGGGUGGGCGGGUUACAUUCAUUCUUGGGCAUGUAUGUGCAUACUGGUUGUUCGCAAAUUGAGGCACUUAAGAAAAUUGGGCGUGCAACGGUCAGGAGUGAGUAUAAGCAUUCAGAAGCCUUUUAUUGCACAAGCAGAUCUUUUAAGAACAAGCCAUGGGUAAGAGGGAGCUUUACAGUUUUUCUCUACCGUGAAUGGCACUGAAGAUACUGCAGUCAUUGAUCAUUAUCUCUCAGUGCUCUUUACUUAUCAGUCCUAUUUUUGUUCAGUCUUCGAAAAACGUAAGAAUCAGGAUGAGGAAACCUAUAAAUAAUGCCUCGCUCCCUGUGACCUGUUACGUCAAAAAAAAAUUUUUUUUUUCUUUUUUUGCAAGGAAUCAACUAGCAGCCACGGUGGGGGAAGGGGGAGGACAAACGGUGACCUGAUACUUCUCCCUUCUUCACAAAGGGGCGGGGGGGUGGUUUGCCAGUCUGGGCACCAAGUGCUCUGAUGCCCCCUCAGUGGAAAAUUCUGCACAAGGACAGUAGAUGGAUGCUAAGCCAAGUCAGGUUCCAAUCAGCGAGUCAUGAGAUGCCACUGCUGGUCCCCCAGAAAUCAGAGAAAAGAUCUGACCUCUCUGGCAACUCUCUCCC